CUACAGAAAUAAAUGUCAAAUAGUAGGAUUUUAGGUAGCCUGGGGGAAGAUAAUUUUAGUCUGGGAGCUCUACCCUGCCACCCUCCAAGUAGACGCUGUCUGCUACAAAGACUUCAAACCAAGAGCUGAGACAUUAGAGGUCCAUAGAGGAAGACAGACUCUAAGUCCCAGACAGAGAAAGGAAAUCUGCCUCCUUCCCAGAGGAGUAGUGGGGUGCUUUAAUUCUACCAGUGGGGAUUAGAAUGUGGUGCAUGACCCCUCAGUGCCUGCAUGAACCACCCUCCCCUCCCCUGACCAACCUUGACGCUGGCCCUGUGCAUGCUGGGAGGAGGGCUGAAGGCGGCCCAGCAGGUUAGCCAGAUACUGCUUGCCAGCCUCCAACAGGACCAGUUCUCAGGAUUGCAGGAGUCUCGUGCCCAGGACCCGUGAGGCCCACAAGAAGAAACAGUCCCCGUUUCUUCUUUCUUUGCCUUCAUCUCAUCCCAGAUCAGAUGACCUGCACCUGUGAUGGAGACUAGCUGUGGAAGGAGUUCAGUGGACAUGAUGCUCCUAGUGCUGUACCUGGCCAUCUUGGUUGUGUUUAUGUCAGAAGACUUCAUCUGGACUGCUCCUGACAUUACUUCCACUCACAAGCAGUGAGCAUGGUGAAAUUCCCUCAUUGCUGCCUGUGAGUCACUCACUGAAUCCACGGAUCAGCACAGUGGAGGACAUGGGCCUGCUGACAGGGAGAGGAGACCUGGGCCAAGUUCUUGAGGCACUCACCCAGUCCCCAGCAGAGGGAUGACAUUUCCACUGCGUGGAGAGCCAAAAUCAAUGACAAGAGAGAGG